ensembl:snRNA U6 U6 spliceosomal RNA
GUGCUCCUUCAGUAGCACAAUUACUAAUACUGGAACGAUAUAGAGAAGAUUAGCAUGGCCCCUGUGCAAGGAUGACACACAAAUUCAUGAAGCGUUCCAUAUUUUA